UCCCUCCUCUAGCCUUCCACUUUUUGACUUUUGUCAUAAUUAUAUUUAUACUUUGUCCACCACUGACUUAAUUUAACACACAUCCUUCUUCCCUGCCUUCCCAACUUCUCUUCAAUUUUGCAGUAUCAUGCCAGGGCCCGAUACAUGAGGGGCAUUAGAGAAGAGAAGCCAAGGUAGAGGGAUGAAUGCACACCAACAACAAAACACAUUCCAUUCAAAUCAUAUUUAUGUUUGUUACAUCAAAAAUCAGAGAAUUGUGGGCUGGGAAUUCCUGCUGCCAAGGAUCUAAAAAGUGGAAUUACAUGCAUGGGGGAGCUGAAUUCCGAGCUUGAAAAGGAAGAGCCAAUGGAUUCAAUUUUUCGCUCAUUGCAACACUUGAAAGCCUCUGCUGUAGUAAAACAUUGCAUCUUAGCAGCAUAUCAUCAUGAGAAAGAUCAAUGGCCUCUAUAACCAAUGUGAGAACUUAUUCAUUACCUCGCUCCAGGUUGGCUUUGAUCUAGUUUUUCCUCCACUGUUUGGGAUACUAGUGUUGAUCCAGUACUGUAUUCUGAACUGCCAGGAGAUUCGUGGAGAUUGGGUUCUCUGCAGGACGUUUCGUUGAUCAGGCCACAAAUAAUAAUUACCUUCGGAUCAUCCUUCUUGAUAAAGGUUCCUUGACUCUUGUUACCUUGAGCUGCUUGUGGUGGAGAAAUGAAGAGGUUAAUCCAUUAUCAUGAGCCCAAAAGUAAAACCAAAUGAAGCCACAACAAACAGAACCUACAAAGGAGUAACUAGUAGACUUGUUUCCAUUGGCUAAAUUUUAAGGAAGUUAUAUUCCUUGUCUCUGUGAUGUGUCUCCGGUUUUAACAAAAUGAUUAGGAAGUUGCUGCUUUUAAGUG